GAAAUACGCCUAAGAGUUCGAGCAAAAUCCAUGCUCCAAAGGUCCGAUACUGACCUUGUUGGAGGAGAGUUGAGCAGAGAGUAACAUCCGAGUAACUUCUCUAUGAAACGAUGUUUUUGGUGAGUUGCAUGUGUUUAGGUUACUGGUAUUUUUAUCCGGGAUUCACGUGGCGGAACGGCAAUAA